rnacentral:rRNA from 1 species
AUGACUGCUGCAAAACGUAUAGUAAGAUAUGUGAAAAGCACUUUGAGCAUUGGCCUAAACUUCAGCAAGUCAUCCUCUGCACUUGUCAGUGCCUUUUCUGACUCAGACUGGGCUGGGUGUCUAGAUGAUAGACGCUCAACUGGUGGUUUUGCAGUAUUCUUUGGACCAAAUUUGAUAUCUUGGAGUGCCAAAAAGCAAGCUACUAUUUCAAGAUCCAGUACAGAGGCAGAGUACAAAGCAUUGGCUAAUGCAACAGCAGAGACCAUAUGGGUACAGUCAAUUUUAAAGGAACUAGGUAUAAGAAGCACUAGAGCCCCAUGUUUGUGGUGUGAUAAUCUAGGUGCUACCUAUCUGUUAGCAAAUCCAGUCUUUCAUGCUAGGACCAAGCACAUUGAAAUUGAUUUUCACUUUGUUUGA